UUUCUACUCCCUCCGUCCGAAAAUACUUGUCAUCAAAAUGGAUAAAAAGAGAUGUAUCUAAAACUAAAAUACGUCUAGAUACAUUUCCUUUUAUCCAUUUUGAUGAAAAGUAUUUCCGGACGGAGGGAGUAUUUG
rnacentral:pre_miRNA from 1 species